GAUGAACGCUGGCGGCGUGCCUAAUACAUGCAAGUCGAGCGAACAGACGAGGAGCUUGCUCCUCUGACGUUAGCGGCGGACGGGUGAGUAACACGUGGAUAACCUACCUAUAAGACUGGGAUAACUUCGGGAAACCGGAGCUAAUACCGGAUAAUAUAUUGAACCGCAUGGUUCAAUAGUGAAAGACGGUUUUGCUGUCACUUAUAGAUGGAUCCGCGCCGCAUUAGCUAGUUGGUAAGGUAACGGCUUACCAAGGCAAUGAUGCGUAGCCGACCUGAGAGGGUGAUCGGCCACACUGGAACUGAGACACGGUCCAGACUCCUACUGGAGGCAGCAGUAGGGAAUCUUCCGCAAUGGGCGAAAGCCUGACGGAGCAACGCCGCGUGAGUGAUGAAGGUCUUCGGAUCGUAAAACUCUGUUAUUAGGGAAGAACAAAUGUGUAAGUAACUAUGCACGUCUUGACGGUACCUAAUCAGAAAGCCACGGCUAACUACGUG
rnacentral:rRNA from 1 species